rnacentral:rRNA from 1 species
GGGGGGGGCAAGCGUUGUUCGGAAUUACUGGGCGUAAAGGGCUCGUAGGCGGCCAACUAAGUCGGACGUGAAAUCCCCAGGCUCAACCUGGGAACUGCGUCCGAUACUGGAUGGCUUGAAUUCGGGAGAGGGAUGCAGAAUUCCAGGUGUAGCGGUGAAAUGCGUAGAUAUCUGGAGGAAUACCGGUGGCGAAGGCGGCAUCCUGGACCGACAUUGACGCUGAUGAGCGAAAGCCAGGGGAGCAAACGGGAUUAGAUACCCCGGUAGUCCUGGCCCUAAACGAUGAAUGCUUGGUGUGACGGGUAUCGAUCCCUGUCGUGCCGAAGCUAACGCAUUAAGCAUUCCGCCUGGGGAGUACGGUCGCAAGGCUGAA